rnacentral:rRNA from 1 species
GUGUCAGCCGCCGCGGUAAUACGGAGGGAGCUAGCGUUGUUCGGAAUUACUGGGCGUAAAGAGUACGUAGGCGGCUAUUCAAGUCAGAGGUGAAAGCCCGGGGCUCAACCCCGGAACUGCCUUUGAAACUAGGUAGCUAGAAUCUUGGAGAGGUCAGUGGAAUUCCGAGUGUAGAGGUGAAAUUCGUAGAUAUUCGGAAGAACACCAGUGGCGAAGGCGACUGACUGGACAAGUAUUGACGCUGAGGUACGAAAGCGUGGGGAGCAAACAGGAUUAGAUACCCUGGUAGUCCACGCCGUAAACGAUGAUAACUAGUUGUUCGGUCACUUGGUGACUGAGUGACGCAGCUAACGCAUUAAGUUAUCCGCCUGGGGAGUACGGUCGCAAGAUUAAA